CUUAAAAUGAUUUUAAUUAUCAUGUUUAAAAUCUUAGUAAUAUUAAUCAUAGUACUUAAAAUAAAAUAAAAUAAUAUUACAAUUACAAAAUAUAAUAAUUUUACAAAAAUUAUGAAGUGAUUGCCUCCCUUCAUAUAGUUUUCAGAGUUAUUUAAUUCUUAACAUAUGUUGUAAUAUGUAAUAUAAUAAUUCUGCUAAUAUUUCCACGGUUUUGACACCAUGUGACUUGUCUUCUGUCUCUCGAUUGGUUCUUCUGUUAAACUCAGACAGGUCAGUGGAGCUGUCAGUGGUGCGGCCCAAAGUGAGCGUCUACCCAGCGACGGGAGCUGAUUUAAAGGGCCGGCGCUCCCUGCUGUGUGUGGCCAGAGACAUGGUCCCUGAGGAGGUCCGGGUGUCCUGGAGGAGGAGAGGGGGGGGCAGAGGGGGGGGGAAGGACGGGGAGCAGCUGGAGCUCAGAGCCCCGACAUACGCUGCCAGCAUCCUGGUUAUUGAUCAGGGAGAAACCCUCACAGAUCAAUACAACUGUACGGUUGAGCAUGAGAGCGGUCUGCAGGAAGUGGAGGUCCCAGCAGAAAUGACCUUGACGUCAGAAGGCCCCGGAAUGAUAGAAAUGACCUUGACUUCAGAAGGCCCCGGAAAGACAGAUGUUACCUUAGCGACGUCAGUUACUACGGACCCCCGGCGUCCAGGGAGACCCAGAGAAGGUCCUUCAGAUGAAACACACCGUAAGAUCAGCUGCUCUCACUCUGAACUGCUGUAGGAACCUCAAGUGGCCUCUGGAUUAGCAGUGUGGUAUUUCAUCAAGAAUACAUUAAUGUAUGUAUACACCAUGGAGUGUAAACCAGUACAAACUAUUAUAAACCAUUACAACCAGUUUAUAACAGUAUGGAGUGUACAAGCCAGUAUAUAAAGUAAACCAGUAUAAACCAGUAUGGCACGUGUAGACCUCUAUGGUGCAUAUGGACCAGUAUAAACCACAUAGGCCUCUAUGGUGCAAAUGGACCAGUAUAAACCACAUUGGCCUCUGUGGUGCAUAUGGACCAGUAUAAACCACAUAGGCCUCUAUGGUGCAUAUGGACCAGUAUAAACCACAUAGGCCUCUAUAGUGCACAUGGACCAGUAUGAACCAGUAUGGGCUGUGUGUUGGUGGGGUCCCAGAGUCCCUCCAGGUGCUGUCCAGAGCCAGGCUGGCGUCUGUGCUCUACACAGUGAUGGUGGUGAAGAGUGUGCUCUGCUGCUGUGGCCUGGCUCUCCUGCUCCUCCACACCAACAAGACCAGCAGGACGCCCAGAACCAGCACCACCACAGCCCUGGACUGACGCUGCUGUCCCCCAGAACCAGCACCACCACAGCCCUGGACUGACGCUGCUGUCCCCCAGAACCAGCACCACCACAGCCCUGGACUGACGCUGCUGUCCCCCAGAACCAGCACCACCACAGCCCUGGACUGACGCUGCUGUCCCCCAGAACCAGCACCACCACAGCCCUGGACUGACGCUCCUGUCCCCCAGAACCAGCAGACCCACCUCGCAAAACCAUAAGAGAUCAUCAUGUCAUCAUUUUAAUCAGUUCUACUCUUCAUGUUUUUUAAGUUUACUUUCAUUGCUUUCAUGUUUGUAAUAUUUUUCAUUGUUUAUAUAAUGUGUCCGUCCUGACGAAGUACUGAACUCAAUACUCACAGUAGACAACAGAAACCUAGAGCAAAAACAUAGAUAACGUAAGUGGCUAGGGAGUUCAAAUAGUUUGAUAAAAAGUUAAGAAAUAUUUUAGCAUUCAGAAUAAAAUGAGCAAUGAUAACAUAUUUUAUUAUUAUACAUAUAUUUUACAUAUUAUGAUUGAUAUCAUUCAAAGAUAAAUUCAUCAUCGCUGUAUUUGAUAGUACGACUUAUAUUGACAUUUAAAUAAAACAAUUGGCUAUCCUGAUUCGUCUGCAUGUUUGUCAACCCUUCUAUUUGUAUGACUCUACAUGAGCUUUUUCUGAUUUUUUUAAAAUAAUUUUCAUACAUACAGGAUUGGUAUGUUAACCUAGCAGGUUUCACAUGUUUGGUCAAGCACGACAAUGUUAAUUAAAAGUAAUUAUUUAGGUAAUUGAACUCUACCUUCAAACUUUUCAAUAAACUGAGGAGUGGUG
ensembl:lncRNA